rnacentral:rRNA from 1 species
AUUGAACGCUGGCGGCAGGCCUAACACAUGCAAGUCGAACGGUAACAGGAAGCAGCUUGCUGCUUUGCUGACGAGUGGCGGACGGGUGAGUAAUGUCUGGGAAACUGCCCGAUGGAGGGGGAUAACUACUGGAAACGGUAGCUAAUACCGCAUAACGUCGCAAGACCAAAGAGGGGGACCUUAGGGCCUCUUGCCAUCGGAUGUGCCCAGAUGGGAUUAGCUAGUAGGUGGGGUAACGGCUCACCUAGGCGACGAUCCCUAGCUGGUCUGAGAGUAUGACCAGCCACACUGGAACUGAGACACGGUCCAGACUCCUACGGGAGGCAGCAGUGGGGAAUAUUGCACAAUGGGCGCAAGCCUGAUGCAGCCAUGCCGCGUGUAUGAAGAAGGCCUUCGGGUUGUAAAGUACUUUCAGCGGGGAGGAAGGGAGUAAAGUUAAUACCUUUGCUCAUUGACGUUACCCGCAGAAGAAGCACCGGCUAACUCCGUG